rnacentral:rRNA from 2 species
GUGAGUAACACGUGGGCAACCUGCCCUGUAGACUGGGAUAACAUCGAGAAAUCGGUUAGUCGUAGCUGGCAAUACCGGAUAAUCAAAGGAAUCACAUGGUUCUUUUGUAAAAGAUGGCUCCGGCUAUCACUACGGGAUGGGCCCGCGGCGCAUUAGCUAGUUGGUAAGGUAAUGGCUUACCAAGGCGACGAUGCGUAGCCGACCUGAGAGGGUGAUCGGCCACACUGGGACUGAGACACGGCAUGCUACUCCUACGGGAGGCAGCAGUAGGGAAUCUUCCCAAUGGACGAAAGUCUGACGGAGCAACGCCGCGUGAGUGAUGAAGGUUUUCGGAUCGUAAAGCUCUGUUGUUAGGGAAGAACAAGUGCCGUUCGAAUAGGUCGGCACCUUGACGGUACCUAACCAGAAAGCCACGGCUAACUACGUGCCAGCAGCCGCGGUAAUACGUAGGUGGCAAGCGUUGUCCGGAAUUAUUGGGCGUAAAGCGCGCGCAGGCGGUCUUUUAAGUCUGAUGUGAAAUAUCGGGGCUCAACCCCGAGGGGUCAUUGGAAACUGGGAGACUUGAGUACAGAAGAGGAGAGUGGAAUUCCACGUGUUAGCUUGAAAUGCGUAGAUAUGUGGAGGAACACCAGUGGCGAAGGCGACUCUCUGGUCUGUAACUGACGCUGAGGCGCGAAAGCGUGGGGAGCAAACAGGAUUAGAUACCCUGGUAGUCCACGCCGUAAACGAUGAGUGCUAGGUGUUAGGGGUUUCGAUGCCCUUAGUGCCGAAGUUAACACAUUAAGCACUCCGCCUGGGGAGUACGGCCGCAAGGCUGAAACUCAAAGGAAUUGACGGGGGCCCGCACAAGCAGUGGAGCAUGUGGUUUAAUUCGAAGCAACGCGAAGAACCUUACCAGGUCUUGACAUCCUUUGACCACUCUAGAGAUAGAGCUUUCCCCUUCGGGGGACAAAGUGACAGGUGGUGCAUGGUUGUCGUCAGCUCGUGUCGUGAGAUGUUGGGUUAAGUCCCGCAACAGCUGCUAACCCUUGAUCUUAGUUGCCAGCAUUUGUUGGGCACUCUAAGGUGACUGCCGGUGACAAACCGGAGGAAGGUGGGGAUGACGUCAAAUCAUCAUGCCCCUUAUGACCUGGGCUACACACGUGCUACAAUGGAUGGUACAAAGGGCAGCGAAACCGCGAGGUCGAGCCAAUCCCAUAAAGCCAUUCUCAGUUCGGAUUGUAGGCUGCUUAGCGCCUACAUGAAGCCGGAAUUGCUAGUAAUCGCGGAUCAGCAUUAGUCUGCCGCGGUGAAUACGUUCCCGGGCCUUGUACG